rnacentral:tRNA from 1 species
GAGGCAAUAGCUCAGUGGUAGAGCCCCGCUUCGCGUGCGGGGAGAACCGGGUUCGAUUCCCGGCUGAUUCC